UGGGGGAUCGUCUAGUGGUAGGAAUGCGGACUCUGACUCCGCCAACGGGGGUUCGAAUCCCUCUCCCCCAGCCA
rnacentral:tRNA from 1 species